rnacentral:lncRNA from 1 species
CGCUGUAGAGCUCCGAUGAUGGCUGUUGGCCGAAUGGAUGAAUGGCUUCAUUAACUUCACUGCAACACGCAGGAGUCCUUGAUCUCCCCCCUUGAAAGGCUGGAGCACAGUGGCAUGAUCUCGGCUAACUGCAACCUCUGCCUGCCUCCCAGGUUCAAGCAAUUCUCCUGCCUCAGCCUCCCAAGUAGCUGGGAUUACAGCAAACAAUGGACUAUUGACUAAGCUUUCAGAGCUGUGGGUGUUCUCAGAGGGAGGCCAGCCAGAACACCAGCAUCUCCGGCUUUUCUUCCAACUCCCAAGUUGGAGCUCCAUCUAUCAGAAAUAUGAAACCCUGGAAUCUUCCUCCUCCUCACUUCUCUGCCUUAAGAUCCUAGUCCACUGCCUGGAACAUGGAAGAUGCUCCAUAAUUGUUUGCUGAAGGAACGAGUGAUAACCAGAGAAGCCAGCUCCUGCUUCCUGAUUAAGGCAUGCAGUCAGGCCAGUGGGGAAAUGGGCCUCAUGGUGGAGCUUGCCUCUGCUGGAAGACUGACGGAGCCAGGGCUCUGCCUGCCACAAUUCAUGAGCUGGCCAGAGGUCUUUGGAUUCCUCCCAGUCAUUGCUGAGAUGAGUGAGGAUUGUUUCAGAAAAUCAGGCCUCCUCCUGGGGAAUGUGCCUCAGCUUCUGGUCAUUCAAGAAUGAGGUUGGAAGAGAUCAUUCUCCUGUUUGCAAAUGAGAAACAAGUAUAGGUGUGAAGAGACCUGUCCACAGCCAUUCAACAAAUGAAAAGUCCAAUCGAAGAUGGGACCUGAUUUCUUACACCCCAAUACCAUCGGAGCUCCUCUGGAACAUGUCCUUGUCUUCUCAGAGUGUGAAGUGUGUGUGUGACAGUGCUUUUCUGAGGACUCAGGUGACCUGGAGGCUGGAGAACAGCAUGGAGCAAGGAAAACAAAGACGAUGUGCUGGAGUGUAUGUUGCUUUCAUAAUUAUGUGAAAGAAAAUGUAGAGAAAUUUGAAAGGUAAGAUCUGACCGCUUUGACCCCUCUCCUCACACCAGCCUAUGCCCCACUUUCUUGAAGACCCACUCCCCAGCUUAGCAGCCAGGUACCCAUCACAGCCUGGCUUCAAGAAGGGAGCCCAGUCCGCCAGGUUUGUUCUCUCUCCUUCGGUCUGUCUCUGUUGGCCAGUCUGUCCAGGAGUCACUCUGUCCAUGGGUCAGUCUCUCCUUCUUUCUGACUGUCUUCCUAUCAUUCUUUCUCAGUUGUUCCCUCUCACCUUAAGGGCUGCCUAAUUUCUCUCUCAUCAUGUCUUUACUUCUCUCCUAGCCUCAUUUCCAGCUUUGGCUUCCUCAUAACUAAAGUGUGCUGUGGCCCCAACAUGGCAUCCUGACUUCUUUUCAGAGUCUGCCUCCAAGCUUCUGGCUGGUCUUGCCACAUACUCCAAUUCAUAUCCCUUCACAUUACAUCAAGCUGGCUCAGUCUGUCUCUUCUCCUCUGGCCAGACAAUGGCAGAUCACCUUGGUCAAGCAUGUCCUCUGGACCAAUUGCCCCAGACCAGGAUUAUUUAAAUACAACUCGUCCAUCUGCAGUUGUCCUUAAAAUCUGAUUUAUAGAAGGUCUGUGUGGGCUUGGCAUUUCUGGUGUCCACUCAUUCUGUCUAGUGAAUUGUCCUUCUUCCAUGACGCCAGUGGUGAUAGAUCUCACCCUCCUCUGAUCCCUGGGCCUGUUGGUUGUGGAGUUUAUGGGCCACUUCUGCAACUUGAUGGCCUUGGGCCAUGGAAAGGCCUGUCACCCCUUUUCUGGCACUAGAAUGGAAGCUUCAGUAGGGCAGGAACCCUAUUUAGGCAUUUCAGUUAGGCUUGGCACACUGUCUUGCAUGGAGAAAGCUCAGAAUAAGACAGAGAUCCUAAAGUAUCUUCAACAGAACUAAUCUGACAAAUUUCCAAGGCUCCUUUGGGAGAUAAAAUCUACUUGGGGGAAUGGGAAAAGGAUGUCUACAUAGAUUUAGAAUAACGACCACCACCACCAUCAUCAUCCUUGACAGAACCUUUAUGCCAGGUGCUGUUCUAAAGCACUUUACAUACUUUAUCUCAUUUAAUCCUAACAACAGCCCUGUAAGAUAACUGUUACUAUGCCCUUUUUACCUUUAAUGAAGAAACAGCCUCAGGGAGAUUAAGAAAUUCACCCAAGGUCACAGAGCUAGAAGGUGAAAGAGCUGGAUUUCCAACCCAAGUGUGCCUGAUGUCAACUCUGAUCUAAGAUGUGGACGCACAUGGGCAGAAUGAUGACGUGCUCUUCCCAACCUCUCAUUUAGCCAGCAUGUGAGAGGGCAAGGUGUCUUCAGCAACCAUUUCAUUUGUAAACAUACGUGUUUUUAUCCUUGGUCUACGCAAUAGUAUUACCACACAGGUAAUACCAGUGGGUGCUGGGUGUUUUUUUUUUUUUCCUCUUCUACAUAUUCCCUCCAAAAUAAAUUAUUAAUUGCCCCUCUUCUAAAUCUUAUGUCACAGUCUUUAAUGCCUGCAUCUGAAUUGCUGUUAAAACAUCUCUUGGAGUCGUUCCCUGUGAUAUUACAGUCCGGGUUCCUGCGGCGUAAUCCCACUUGCUGGUUUUUCCCUUUGCAUUGCAUUUGGGUGAUGAAUGGCCCUUUGAUGUUCCUGGCAUCUGCCUUCCUGCCUCAGGAACUCACUGCUGGGUCCUCUUUUCCCUGCUAAUGGCCCUGUUUGCCUUCCACGACAGUUGAGACUCAGAAACACUUGCACCCACGGCACCUUUGGACAUUGCAGUUUGCCUCUGUUUCACUGCCCUUUCUUCUAUUUUUCUUUACUCUGCCUCUUCUGUUCUUUGCUCUGGCCUGCUCCUGUUCCCUGGCAGCUCCAGCCAUGCAGCAAACAGUCACCAGUCUUCACUUUAUCCUCAGAACUGGUGACACAGCACCUACUCUCCUUAUCUCUGUAGAGGCUUCCUCCAAAAUUUCUAUUACUUAACCCUUUCUCCUAGACUCCUCCUUGCCGCUCAUCAUGGCUGAGGCCCUGCUCAGAUCUGUUUCCCUCAGUUCUUUGGGAAAGCAGCUGUCUGACAUUGAUGUGCAUUUGUUUAGCCUUUUCUAUGUGUCAAGCAUAGGUUUGUAUAGUCAUAGAGGUGGAUAACAUAGUCUUAGGUGCUUUUCUUCUUUUUUUAUAGACUGCGUCUUGCUCUGUCACCCAGACUGGACUGCAGUGGCACAAUCACAGCUACCUGUAACCUCAAACUCCUGGGCUCAUGCAAUCCUCCCACCUCAGCCUCUGGAGUAGCUGGGACUACAGGUUUGUGCCACUAAGCCUGGAUAAUUUUUUAAAUUUUUUGUAGAGAUGGGGUUCUCGCUAUGUUGCCCAGGCUUUUUUUUUUUUUUUUUUUUUUUGAGACAGAGUCUUGCUCUGUCACCCAGGCUGGAGUGCAAUGGCACGAUCUCAGCUCACUGCAACCUCCACCUCGUUGGUUCAAGCAAUUCUACUGCCUCAGCCUCCUGAGUAGCUGGGACUACAGGCAUGCAACACCAUGCCCAGCUGAUUUUUUUAUAUUUUUAGUAGAGAGGGGGUUUCACCAUGUUGGUCAGGCUGGUCUCGAACUCCUGACCUCAAAUGAUCGCCUGCCUCAGCUUCCCAAAGUGCUGGGAUUACAGGCUUAAGCCACCGUGCCUGGCCUGCCCAGGCUUUUUAAAAAAUAGAUUUUAUUUUUUAAGUCUUUGGUCCACAUAACCACAGCCUCCCCUACUAUCAACAUCCCACACCAGAGCAGUACAUUUGACAUAUUCGACGCACCUAACUUGACACAUCAUUAUCACUCAAAGUCCACAGCUUACUCUAGGGCUCGUUCUUGGCAUUGUGCAUUCUGUGGGUUUUGACAAAUGUAUAAUGACAUGCGUCCACCAUUGUAGUAUCAUCAGGAGUGGUGUCAUGGCCCUAUACAUCCUUCAUGUCUUAGGGAUUUUUAAAGCCUAGUAAAAGACAUCGGAA